rnacentral:rRNA from 1 species
UACGGAGGGUGCAAGCAUUGAUCGGAAUUACUGGGCGUAAAGGGCGCGCAGGCGGCUGGGAAAGUCAGAUGUGAAAUUCCGGGGCUCAACCCCGGAACUGCAUUUGAAACUUCCCAACUAGAGUUCAGUUAGGGAAAACGGAAUUCCACGUGUAGCGGUGAAAUGCGUAGAUAUGUGGAAGAACACCGGUGGUGAAGACGGUUUUCUGGGCUGAUACUGACGCUGAGGCGCGAAAGCAAGGGGAGCAAACAGG